AAGUCGUAACAAGGUUUCCGUAGGUGAACCUGCGGAAGGAUCAUUAACGAGUUUUGAAACGAGUUGUAGCUGGCCUUCCGAGGCAUGUGCACGCUCUGCUCAUCCACUCUACCCCUGUGCACUUACUGUAGGUUGGCGUGGGCUCCUUAACGGGAGCAUCCUGCCGGCCUAUGUAUACUACAAACACUUUAAAGUAUCAGAAUGUAAACGCGUCUAACGCAUCUAUAAUACAACUUUUAGCAACGGAUCUCUUGGCUCUC
rnacentral:misc_RNA from 1 species